CAUAUGUCCCAUUAGCUUGUUGGUGAGGUAACGGCUCACCAAGGCUACGAUGGGUAGGGGGCCUGAGAGGGUGAUCCCCCACACUGGUACUGAGACACGGACCAGACUCCUACGGGAGGCAGCAGUGAGGAAUAUUGGUCAAUGGGCGAAAGCCUGAACCAGCCAUGCCGCGUGCACGAUGACUGUCCUAUGGAUUGUAAACUGCUUUUCUGCAGGAAGAAACGCUUCUACGUGUAGAGGUUGACCGGUACUCCAGGAAUAAGCAUCGGCUAUCCCGGGCCAGCAGCCCCGGUAAUACGGAGGAUGCAAGCAUUAUCCGGAUUCAUUGCGUAUAAAGCGUGCGUAGCCGGAUUGGUAAGUCAAAGGUGAAAGUCUGUAGCUUAACUAUAGAAGUGCCUGUGAUACUGUUAGUCUUGGGUACAGUUGAGGCGAGUGGAAUGUGUAAUGUAGCGAUGACAUGCAUAGAUACUACACAGAACACCAAUUGUGAAGACAGCUCGCUAAGCUGCUACUGACGCUCAGGCACGAAAGCGUGGGGAGCGAACAGGAUUAGAUACCCUGGUAGUCCACGCUGUAAACUAUGAUCACUAGCUGUUGGCGAUAAAUUGUCAGUGGCUGAGCGAAAGCGUUAAGUGAUCCACCUGGGGAGUACGAUCGCAAGGUUGAAACUCAAAGGAAUUGACGGGGGCCCGCACAAGCUGGUGGAACAUGUGGUAUUAAUUCGAUGACACGCGAGGAACCUGACAUGGGCUUAAAUGUAGAACGACGUCCUGAGAAAUCGGGAUUCCCUUCGGGGCGGACUACAAGGUGCUGCAUGGUUGUCGUCAGCUCGUUCCGUGAGGUAUCGGGUUAAGUCCCAUAACGAGCGCAACCCAUAUUGUUAUUUGCCAGCGGAUAAUGCCGGGGACUCUGACGACACUGCCCGUGUAGACGGGAGGAAGGUGGGGAUGACGUCAAAUCAGCACGGCCCUUAUGUCCAGGGCUACACACGUGUUACAAUGGCUGGAACAAAGGGCAGCUACCACGCGAGUGGAUGCUAAUGUUUAAAUCCAGUAUCAGUUCGGAUCGGAGUCUGCAAUUCGACUUCGUGAAGAUGGAAUCGCUAGUAAUCGCGCAUCAGCAAUGGCGC
rnacentral:rRNA from 1 species